rnacentral:tRNA from 1 species
UGGGGAUAGCUCAGUCAGUAAAGCAUGAGACUCUUAAUCCCAGGGUCUUGGAUUCAAGCCCCACACUGCGCAA